rnacentral:misc_RNA from 1 species
GAAAUUAUAAAAUAUAAUCAAUAUUCAACUCACAGUGCAACCUAAUACUUAUUGGUUAUGUUGAGAAGAAGAAAAAUGUUGAUUUGGAUCACUUAAGCAAAUAUAUCAAAAAAUUAUCAAUUAUAGACCAAUAAUAAUUAAUUAAAGAAACAAAAGACUUCCUAGGUUUGUGUUGAAAAUUCAGCAAAGUUUUUCCUAUACUUAAAACCUAACCUCCCUACAAGAAAAAUCUCAUUUAUAUCUCAACAAUCCAAAGGCCUCAAACCCACAACACAACACAACACAAUGUCCAUUUGGGGCCUACAAGCAUCCUAAGUUACGUAUAGAUCUCUAAUCUCCAGCUCGGAUCUUUAACUCUUCUACAAUCCAAUUAAAAUCACAAUCUCGAAAGCUUAUACUAAAAUAUCAUGGUAUAAUUAUAAUCAGAUUUAUCCAUAAAACUUUAAUUUCAUAUUAAAUUUCUAAUGAAAAUUCGACAGAAUUCCCUUUUAAUAUUGGACUAAACUCCAUGUUACAAAACUCAUAUCCACAAUUCAACAAUUAUAUCAACUUACACAAAUUUCUAACUUAUACAUUUAUACAAAUAUUAAUUUCAACACUUCAUAUUCAAAUCUCAAUUAAAAUAUUCCACACUAUAUCCAUAUCACCACAAGUCCAAAUAAAACACAUACAUUCAUUUCUCAAAAAUAAUCCACAAUAACUUAAAAAUUCACUAAACACCAUAUCCUAUCUAAAAAUAAAUUUAGUUUCAUCAUAAUAACUUAUUCAACUUAACUUAAUCCUUAAUACCCAAUUUUUAGCACUUUGUACACUAAAAUUUAUAUAUAAUAUUCCAACUGUUAGAUAAAUUUUAAAUUUUAAACAUAUGGUCAAGACAUCCAAAUACAUUAUGAGUAAAAAUUUUAGCUUCACAAUAUCUCUACAUCAUGACAUAUCAAAAUAUUUAUCCAAUCCUUUAAAUUCUGAAUUUUUCAGAAAUGAUUCUUACUCAAAUAACUCAUACAAAAUAAUUUAUA